rnacentral:telomerase_RNA from 7 species
ACGCGUGGCGGGUGGAAGGCUCCGCUGUGCCUAACCCUAAUCGGGGGAAUUGAUGGUGCUGUCGCCGCGCUCCCUCCGCCCGCCCGCUGUUUUACUCGCUGACUUUCAGCGGGCGAGAGGAGCCGCCCCGGGGGGGAGGCGGGCGGCGGGAGGGGGCCGGGGCGCCGCGGCGGUGGGGGUCGGGGGGGGGAGAGAAAGGGCCGAAAGGGGCUCCGCGGCCAAAAAAACGUCAGCGAGGGGUCCGCUCGCCCCGAUCCGCCCUGGGGUCCCCGCUCGCGUGGCCGCGGUCGGCCGGCACCCGCCAUUGCCGCCGCGAAGAGUUCGCCUCUGUCAGCCUCGGCGGCGCGCGGGAGGUGCGGCGCGCGGCCCCGCGCCCCCAGCAGAGCAAACGGGAGCGGCGCCCCCGGGGUAACCCCCGCGCUCCCCUGCGCCGUGGGGCGCGCGGACGGCGUCGCUCCCACACGC